rnacentral:rRNA from 1 species
AUUGAACGCUGGCGGCAGGCCUAACACAUGCAAGUCGAACGAGUGGCGGACGGGUGAGUAAUGUCUGGGAAACUGCCUGAAGGAGGGGGAUAACUACUGGAAACGGUAGCUAAUACCGCAUACCAUCAGAUGUGCCCAGAUGGGAUUAGCUAGUUGGUGGGGUAACGGCUCACCAAGGCGACGAUCCCUAGCUGGUCUGAGAGGAUGACCAGCCACACUGGAACUGAGACACGGUCCAGACUCCUACGUGAGGCAGCAGUGGUGAAUAUUGCCCAAUGGGCGCGAGCCUGCUGCAGCCAUUCCGCGUGUAUGAAGGAGGCCUUCGGGUUGGAAAGUACUUUCAGCGGGGAGGCGUUACCCGCAGAAGAAGCACCGGCUAACGCCGUGCCAGCAGCCGCGGUAAUUC